rnacentral:rRNA from 1 species
UACGAAGGGUGCAAGCGUUACUCGGAAUUACUGGGCGUAAAGAGUGCGUAGGCGGUUCUUGAAGUCCGCUGUGAAAGCCCCGGGCUUAACCUGGGAAUGGCAGUGGAAACUGGAGGACUUGAAUUGAGCAGAGGGGGGUGGAAUGCCGCGUGUAGCAGUGAAAUGCGUAGAGAUGCGGCGGAACACCGAUGGCGAAGGCAGCCCCCUGGGCUUAAAUUGACGCUGAGGCACGAAAGCGUGGGGAGCAAACAGG